AAGAUCUGAAAUCCUUUCUCUCUGUGAGUAGCGCCUCUUCUCAUCUUAAUGUUAAACAAGACCCCUCAAAUUUGGCCAUGAAACUAUUUUGUGCUUGAUCUAAUCUUUUAAGUUGAAGUUUAACUUCAUUUUUUCUGGUUUUUUUCCUUCAAAAAUGAAGAUAAUUCUGUAAUCAUCCUCUGUCGAAAAUAAUGGUCUACAAAUUGUCCUUACCCUGGAGCUGUACAAGUCACACACAGCUCCAUUGGAGAGAAAACUGGAUGGAACCAUUUGACUGAAAAUCCAUGUCAAAAGGCCAACAAGAAAGAUCUGAGACACUGCAGAAAGAGCAGGAAUAAAUAAAAGGUGAAGACAGACAGAGACCAGACAAGGAGGACUCAAUUACAGACUGACAGAAGACUCAAGGAAGAAAAUGAACUGGUCCUGUGAAGAACUGUUGAAACAGCUGUAGAGGAAUUGUGGUGGAGGCAGUAAUGGCUCCUUUAGUAGCAGAGAAUAGAAAGAUCUCGAAAACAAAGCCUAUUGUCAGGAGACUUGCACCCAUCCUGGCCUACUUCCAAGUGUAAGUGAGGUAACAUUUAAUUUCUGAAGUGGAGAUUUGAACCAAAUUGUUAAGCUCUCAAAAUUUAACCAAC
rnacentral:lncRNA from 1 species